rnacentral:rRNA from 1 species
AACGAACGCUGGCGGCAGGCCUAACACAUGCAAGUCGAACGAAGUCUUCGGACUUAGUGGCGCACGGGUGAGUAACACGUGGGAAUAUACCUUACGCUGGGGGAUAACAUCGGGAAACUGAUGCUAAUACCGCAUACGCCCUUCGGGGGAAAGAUUUAUCGGCGAAAGAUUAGCCCGCGUCCGAUUAGCUAGUUGGUGAGGUAAUGGCUCACCAAGGCUCCGAUCGGUAGCUGGUCUGAGAGGAUGACCAGCCACACUGGGACUGCGACACGGCCCAGACUCCUACGGGAGGCAGCAGUGGGGAAUAUUGGACAAUGGGCGCAAGCCUGAUCCAGCCAUGCCGCGUGAGUGAUGAAGGCCUUAGGGUUGUAAAGCUCUUUCACCCACGACGAUGAUGACGGUAGUGGGAGAAGAAGCCCCGGCUAACUUCGUG